AGCCUGAUGCAGCCAUGCCGCGUGUGUGAAGAAGGCCUUCGGGUUGUAAAGACAGUCGUGAGGAAGGUGUGUAGUUAAUAGCUGCUUAUUUGACGUUAGCGACAGAAGAAGCACCGGCUAACUCCGUGCCAGCAGCCGCGGUAAUACGGAGGGUGCGAGCGUUAAUCGGAAUUACUGGGCGUAAAGCGCAUGCAGGUGGUUUGUUAAGUCAGAUGUGAAAGCCCGGGGCUCAACCUCGGAAUAGCAUUUGAAACUGGCAGACUAGAGUACUGUAGAGGGGGGUAGAAUUUCAGGUGUAGCGGUGAAAUGCGUAGAGAUCUGAAGGAAUACCGGUGGCGAAGGCGGCCCCCUGGACAGAUACUGACACUCAGAUGCGAAAGCGUGGGGAGCAAACAGGAUUAGAUACCCUGGUAGUCCACGCCGUAAACGAUGUCUACUUGGGUUGUGGCCUUGAGCCGUGGCUUUCGGAGCUAACGCGUUAAGUAGACCGCCUG
rnacentral:rRNA from 1 species